GCUCUUUUUGCUAGCACAUAUAUUAAAAUUAGAAUGAUAAAGAGAUUAGCAAGGCUCCUGCACAAGUAUGAUUUUAACUUGUGUAAAUGAUAACAUUCUUGU
ensembl:snRNA Gm25599 U6 spliceosomal RNA